CAUGUCCGUCAGUGUCUGUACGAGCAGUCAGCUCUUCUCUUUCGUAUGUGUUAAACAAACAACCAGCAAAUAUGUUUUUCAUAUUUAUCACUCAGAUUAAGUGAAGCAUAGCUGCUCUGGGAGUGACGUCACGUCCUGGUGCUGACGGAACAAUAGUUGCGGCUUCGGGUGGAGAUUUCUAGUGCUACUAGCUAUUGCAUCGGUUUAUUCCCCAAAAACUGAACUAUUAUGUCCAAAACUUAAUGAAACUAUGUAAUAUCUCAUCAUGCUUUGGACGUUGGUUGCCUUCGGGUAUGUCGCCGCCUUCACGGCUCCAGGGCUGUGCUGUCGUCAUAAGGAAUAUGAAACAAGAGAUGGACAAUGCUGCCCGAUGUGCCACGAAGGUACAGUUGUUAGAAAAGACUGCACACCAGAGUCAGGCACACGGUGCAGCCCCUGUGAGUAUGGGACUUUUAUGAAGCACCCAAAUGGCCUGACUAAGUGUUUCUCCUGCACCUCCUGUGACCAAGGUCUUAUUGCCGUACAGGAGUGCAGAGCAACAAGCGACACAGUUUGCGAUGUUUUACCUGGGUAUUUCUGCAAAAGCUUGGCAGAUGAUACAGGAUGUAGUUUGGCAGAGAAACAUAAACGCUGUGCUCCUGGUCAGAGGAUAAAACAAGCUGGAACCAGCAGAACUGAUGCAGUGUGUGAACACUGUCAGCAAGGAUAUUUUUCACAGGAUGGUGUGAAUUGCACGGCUUGGACUACUUGCUCAGAAACUCAACUAAAGUUCAAAGAAGGAAGCGCGACCAGCGACGUUGUCUGUGCAUCUGCUUCAAGAGCACAUUACUCUUAUAUACCUGUAUUGUUAUUAUCAUUAACACUUGUUGGGCUUCUGUUCGGAGGCAGGCUAACAUUGAAAAACCUUUAGAGUCUCCCGUACAGGAGUGAAAACUGAAGAGUGGACGCUGUUUCAGAUUGAAGUGUCUAAUACCCGUUUUUUCUACAGCAGACAGACGCACCCACAUCUAUAUGAGACAGCUGUUACAGGUUCAUCUCUGUUGUCACCAGCAGAGACUUCAAUCUGCAGUGUAGUUCCUUAAACAUCACUGAUAAACCAGAUGAUCAGAGAAUGAAAUUACAUGAUCAUCAAAAAAAAUUGUCAGUCUUAUGAAAAGACCCAAAACAGUAAGUAUUAGAUCGUACUAACAAGUAUUGAGUUUUGCUUAGUCUCAACCACUGAAUUAUUCUUGUAUUUUAUACCUCUCGUUCUAUUUUAGCUUGUUUUUAUUUUCUGUUCUCUUGGCUCUUUAAUGACCUUUGUGGUGUGUUUCUUUUGCACUUUGUCGCAAUGCUUUUGAUGUUUUGUGUGAAGCACUUGGCGUUGCCUUGUUGCUGAAAUAUGAUGCAUAAAUAAACUUGCCUUGCCUUAUUCCUCUGAGCCACCGAGCUCCAUUGUUGACCAAAAACUAUUAACGAGACCAGAGGUGGGUAGAGUAGCCAAAAACUGUAGUUUACUCAAACUCAAACGUUUAUGGCUCAAGUAGAAGUAAAGUAAUCAUCAAAAUAACUACCUGAGUGAGAGUACAAACGUAUUUACUGAAAAAAUGACUUGGUUAGCGAGGAACUUAAAAUAAAAAGAAUAAUAAAAAAGACAGGCACAAACUGUCUUUAUUUGAUGUGGAUAUGAGUGGAAUUAUUUCAACCACAGAUGGUCUUCCUCGGGUCUUCCUCGUGCUUUCUGUAUUUAUUUAUGAUGAAAUGACAAGUCAUCUCCUGACUGGAUAACCUGCCACAUAUGCCGAUGCCUGUGUUUGAAUGAUUUUUCAUUUUGGCUUUUAAGCCCUAAUAGAGUGACAUCUUUUAAAUCACUUUUCAAAACGUAUCUUUAAAAAAAAAAAGAAGCUUUUUAUUAAUGCUAGCACACUGUUUUAUUUCCAACAUAUCUGUUUCAUUAUUGCUGUUUUUUAUUAUUGUAUUUAUCUUUGUCUUGUUUUAUAUUGUUCGGUAUUAAUUUCCUUUUUAUUUCUGGAUUCUUUUUGAUUGUCUGAUUUUAUUUGCCUCCUCGCCUCCUGAAAUGUUUGAAUCCUAGUUAACAGUCUCAUCGCAGGAAGAGUCGCUGCGGACGUGACCUGAUGUUUACGGGAAAAUCUGGAUCCUAGUUUGGAACCAUUGUUGUGAAUUAAUGUCGCCAUGAAAGUUUGAGACCAGUCUCAUGUUUACAAAAUGUUCAGCGGUUUUCAAAGACGACCGACUUUCGGUCACUUUGUCAGAUGUGUACUGUAAAUGAACCACAUCCUGUGAGAUGUAAAAUGACACAAAGAAAGUUAUAUUUUGAAAAACCAGCUUAGUUAUUUAAGCCCUUAUGACUUGGAUAAUAAUAAUGACAAGAGGCUCAUUUUCUCUGUGUGAACAGACUGAAAUAGGCAAAUGUUUGCUAAAAUGUUACCAUAUCAAGGAGUAAGCAUAAGUAACUAUUCUGUGUUCUGCUCCCUUUAAGGAUGAAACCUAUUUUUACAGAGAGCCUUUUCUUCACCACUUUUAUUUCUUUUGGGCUUAAUUUCCCAUAUGUGUGUUUCAAUGUUUAAUUGUGAUUUUACUUUUCAUUAACAAGUCUAGCUAAUGCACACCUGGUAGACAGGUGUGAAGGAACGCAGGACACUGAGCUUCUUAAAGACACAAUAUUUUGGACCUUUUCAACCUUUUCUUUCACAGCUUUUCAUCAAUGAGACAUUUAUAAAUUUAACUAUAAUUACUAAUUACUUUGUCGAUCAGGGUUUUGCACCAUCAGCUUAUAAUCUAUGAUGCGUUGUUGGCAAUAACAUUAAGCAACAGUAUAUUAAGUAGUUAAUAUUAACUCGACCAUGAGCAACUACAAGAGUAAAAUGCUACUUACACAUUCAUGGAUCAGUACCAACCCAGUAAUAUAUAGCAGCACUAAACACAGUGUUACACACAGCCAUUUUCUGCAUAAUGACUAUUUUACUGAUAACAUUUUGAACGCAGGAUUUACACGAAUGCCUCUCUCACCGCUGCUGUAACUUGUCACUUCCCAGUGACCAGUGUGUCACUACAUGUGGGUCUUAAAUUCUGUAUUCGUGAUGUAGGCUUUAAAGCUUUUGUCCUGUAACAAAGCAGUGUGCCUUCUGCCAGACUUGUAUCUAUUGUUUAAUGUAUCUCAUUGUAUUGUUUUAAAUUUAUUUAAUUUUACUUUGCUUUUUAUUGUUUUGAAUGUUGUUCUAAUGCAUUCCUUCACUUUGUGUUACACACUUUGAACUGCCUCUCUGUUUCAAAGUUGCAAUACAAAUAAAGUUUCCUUGCCUUGACUAACUCA